GACGGAGGAUGCAAGUGUUAUCCGGAAUCACUGGGCGUAAAGCGUCUGUAGGUGGUUUAAUAAGUCAACUGUUAAAUCUUGAGGCUCAACCUCAAAAUCGCAGUCGAAACUAUUAGGCUAGAGUAUAGUAGGGGUAAAGGGAAUUUCCAGUGGAGCGGUGAAAUGCGUAGAUCUUGGAAAGACCACCAAUGGCGAAGGCACUCUACUGGGCCAUUACUGACACUAAGAGACGAAAGCUAGGGGAGCAAAUGGG
rnacentral:rRNA from 1 species